UACAGAGGGUGCGAGCGUUGUCCGGAAUCACUGGGCGUAAAGGGCGCGUAGGUGGCGACCCAAGUCGAUGGUGAAAGCUCGCCGCUCAACGGCGAGUCGGCCACCGAUACUGGGUUGCUGGAGCACUGUAGAGGCAGAUGGAAUUCCGGGUGUAGCGGUGGAAUGCGUAGAGAGUCCGGAAGAACACCGGUGGCGAAGGCGGUCUGCUGGGGCAGUUGCUGACACUGGGGGCG
rnacentral:rRNA from 1 species